UACGGCGCGGCCUAUCAGCUUGUUGGUGGGGUAAUGGCCUACCAAGGCGACGACGGGUAGCCGGCCUGAGAGGGCGACCGGCCACACUGGGACUGAGACACGGCCCAGACUCCUACGGGAGGCAGCAGUGGGGAAUAUUGCACAAUGGGCGGAAGCCUGAUGCAGCGACGCCGCGUGAGGGAUGACGGCCUUCGGGUUGUAAACCUCUUUCACCCAUGACGAAGCGCAAGUGACGGUAGUGGGAGAAGAAGCGCCGGCCAACUACGUGCCAGCAGCCGCGGUAAGACGUAGGGCGCGAGCGUUGUCCGGAAUUAUUGGGCGUAAAGAGCUCGUAGGCGGCUUGUCGCGUCGGCUGUGAAAUCCCGUGGCUCAACUGCGGGUCUGCAGCCGAUACGGGCAGGCUAGAGUUCGGUAGGGGAGACUGGAAUUCCUGGUGUAGCGGUGAAAUGCGCAGAUAUCAGGAGGAACACCGAUGGCGAAGGCAGGUCUCUGGGCCGAUACUGACGCUGAGGAGCGAAAGCGUGGGGAGCGAACAGGAUUAGAUACCCUGGUAGUCCACGCUGUAAACGUUGGGCGCUAGGUGUGGGGGACCUCUCCGGUU
rnacentral:rRNA from 1 species